rnacentral:rRNA from 1 species
AAUCAACGCUGGCGGCGUGCCUCAGACAUGCAAGUCGAACGCGAAAGUCCCCUUCGGGGGGCGAGUAGAGUGGCGCACGGGUGAGUAACACGUAGGUAAUUUGCCUUCGGGUGGGGAAUAACAGCCGGAAACGGCUGCUAAUACCGCAUAAUGCAGCGGCUCGACAUCGAGACAGUUGUUAAAGCGGGGGAUUCCGAAAGGAACCUCGCGCCUGAAGAGAAGCCUGCGGCAGAUUAGCUAGUUGGUAGGGUAACGGCCUACCAAGGCAACGAUCUGUAGCCGGCCUGAGAGGGCGGUCGGCCACACUGACACUGACAUACGGGUCAGACUCCUACGGGAGGCAGCAGUCGGGAAUUUUUGGGCAAUGGGCGAAAGCCUGACCCAGCAACGCCGCGUGAAGGAUGAAAUCCCUCGGGAUGUAAACUUCGCAAGAAUGGGAAGAAGAUUAGAGGGUGAUAACCCC